rnacentral:rRNA from 1 species
GACGAACGCUGGCGGCGUGCUUAACACAUGCAAGUCGAGCGGAAAGGCCACUUCGGUGGUCCUCGAGCGGCGGACGGGGGCGUAACACGAGCGUGAUCUGCCCCUGGCUUUGGGAUAGCGACCAGAACCGGUGAUUAAUACCGGUUAUGGCACAUUCUUGCAAGCGCUUGGGUGGAAAGUUUUUCGGCCAGAGAUGUGCUCGCAGCGUAGCAGCUUGAUGGGAAGGUAAUGGCGCACCAUGGCUGCGACGGGUAGCCGGCCUGAGAGGGUGAACGGGAACACUGGGACUGCGACACGGCGCAGACGCCAACGGGAGGCAGCAGGGGGGAACAUUACACAACGGCCGGACGCCUGAUCCAGCAACCCCGCGUGCGGGAUGCCCGCUUUCGGGUGGUAAACAUCUUUCAGUACAGACGUAGCGGAAGUGACGGUAGCUAAACAAGAAGCACCGGCCAACUACGUG